UGCGGUCGAACGGAGUAGCAAUACUUAGUGGCGAACGGGUGAGUAUAAUGUGGGUAUCUGCCUUUUGGUGAGGAAUAACACGAGGAAACUUGUGCUAAUACUUCAUAAGCCUUCACAGGGAAAGUUUUAACGCCAAAAGAUGAGCUCGCACUUGAUUAGCUAGUUGGUAAGGUAAUGGCUUACCAAGGCUACGAUCAAUAGCUGAUCUGAGAGGAUGAUCAGCCACAUUGGGACUGAGACACGGCCCAAACUCCUACGGGAGGCAGCAGUAGGGAAUCUUGCACAAUGGGGGAAACCCUGAUGCAGCGAUGCCGCGUGAGUGAAGAAGGCCUUUGGGUUGUAAAGCUCUUUCGUCGGGGAAGAAAAUGACUGUACCCGAAUAAGAAGGUCCGGCUAACUUCGUGCCAGCAGCCGCGGUAAUACGAAGGGACCUAGCGUAGUUCGGAAUUACUGGGCUUAAAGAGUUCGUAGGUGGUUAGAAAAGUUGGUGGUGAAAUCCCAAGGCUUAACCUUGGAACUGCCAUCAAAACUUUUUGACUAGAGUAUGAUAGAGGAAAGUGGAAUUUCUAGUGUAGAGGUGAAAUUCGUAGAUAUUAGAAAGAACACCGAUUGCGAAGGCAGCUUUCUGGAUCAUUACUGACACUGAGGAGCGAAAGCAUGGGUAGCGAAGAGGAUUA
rnacentral:rRNA from 1 species